rnacentral:ncRNA from 16 species
CUGACUCUCAUCGCCUAUCGACUGAUUACUUAAAAACAUCCUCAUCCGACAGUGCAUGGAAUCCCGUGAAAGCCGGGAGCAGUUGCGCUGCUGUAACUGGAAACGAGGUCCCAUCCGCAAGGAGGCCAAUCUUUGGAAACAAAGGUGAAGGCCGGGGCCGAGGCAAUACAAAGCGUCCAGGAGCCAGAAUACUUCGUUGUCGGAAAACUCAUUC